GAUCAUGGCUCAGGAUGAACGCUAGCGGCAGGCUUAACACAUGCAAGUCGAGGGGCAGCGAGAUCAAAGCUUGCUUUGGUGUCGGCGACCGGCGCACGGGUGCGUAACGCGUAUGCAACCUACCCACUACAGGGGGAUACACUGAGAAAUCGGUACUAAUACCCCAUAAUAUCUUGGAAGGCAUCUUCCGAGUUGAAACUCGGUGUAGUGAUGGCAUGCUUGAUUAG
rnacentral:rRNA from 1 species